CCCCUUUCAGGGUCACACCUGGAGAGUUUCCAGUACUCUAUCAGCCUCGACUAUGAGAGAGAGAGUCAAGCAGAGGCAUACCCAUUCCAUUCCUAGCUUGGGCAGUGGUUAGGGAGUUGAAGGCAAUCUGCUACAAGU